rnacentral:lncRNA from 1 species
AAGGAGCUUGUUGCAAUACAUUACAAAAAUUGUAAUCAAAAUGAUGAUCGUUGGAGUGAUCACUUUCCAAAAAGGUCGGACUAUAGGACAAUUUGAUUGGACAUGUCGUCUUUACAGAUCUUGGGUAGGGAGUACCUUGUUGAUCAGCCAAAAGAUGUGGUAGCAAAAAACUUGGUGGUUGGGUGAAGAUUGUUGUGUAGUCUCCCACAUAGACAGUGGAACCAUUUUGAGCAAGAGUAUGUGCAACGUAGUUUUGCUCCCUAUAUGUGUGGAUAAUCGGAGGAUACUCAGCUGCAGGAUUAAGUGCCUGCAUUUCAUUAAAGUAGAUGAGUAGUGUAAAUUAUCUUUGUUAAGCAUUGAUAUUAUCAAUCUAAAACACAAAUCUUUAUCAAUCUAAACAAGUCCUACUUCAACCACAAUUUUAUCAAAUACCCAAUACUUGACAUAUCCAGAAGCCAUGGGAUUUCGUUUGUUACCUAUGAUUUCCGGUGCCAAUCAAAUCUACAAAUUGCAGUCUGUUCUUAAAAGGAAUCAUUCAGAUGUUCCUAAAGGACAUUUUGCAGUUUAUGUCGGAGAGAUUGAGAAGAAGCGAUAUGUGGUGCCAAUAAUAUACCUGAACCAUCCUUCGUUCCAGAACUUGUUAUGCAAAGCAGAAGAAGAGUUUGGAUUUCAUCAUCCAACGAGUGGUCUAACAAUACUUUGCAAUGAGAAUGAUUUUGUUGACGUGACUUCUCGAUUGAAUUUAUGAAAUGAAGAACCAAGAAGUAGCAUUCUGAGCUUCAGAUUAGAGCUAGCUUAGAAUUUUCAGUUUUUGUUUUCCACGUUCACUUCUAGUGGUAUGAGUUGAUGAAGACAUGCUAAUUGCAAACCCUAUAAUAAUGCAUUUAAUUCCAUAUAUGUGGAGUUAUCUGUAUCUCUUGUACCCAUGAAGCCUAGUAAACAUUGUCCCAUUGUAUUGCGGAAUACUCCUCUUAUACCAUUUUUAGAUGGAUUACUUUUGGCGGUUCCAUCAGUGUUUAGUUUAAUUUUACCUAGAGGUGGUGGAUGUCAUUUGACAUACAUGUAUGUGCGUGUUGGUGCUGACGCAUUUUGUUUAAUAAGGGAAUGAUAUUCUACUGCUUGUGCUA